CACGUAGGGUGCGAGCGUUGUCCGGAAUUAUUGGGCGUAAAGGGCUCGUAGGCGGCCAACUAAGUCAGACGUGAAAUCCCUCAGCUUAACUGGGGAACUGCGUCUGAUACUGGAUGGCUUGGAUUCGGGAGAGGAAUGCGGAAUUCCAGGUGUAGCGGUGAAAUGCGUAGAUAUCUGGAGGAACACCGGUGGCGAAGGCGGCAUUCUGGACCGAUAUUGACGCUGAGGAGUGAAAGCCAGGGGAGCAAACGGG
rnacentral:rRNA from 1 species